ensembl:lncRNA
CGGGCGCUCCGCGCUCUUACCUUGGGUAGCAACCCCGCGCGCCGCCAGCAGCAGCGCGGCCAGCAGCGCCAGGAGCGGCGGGCGCGUCCCGCGGCGGCGCGGCCGGUGCAUUCCUUCCCUCGCGGCGGCGGCGGCGGCGGCGGCGGCUCCCCGGCCGCGGGCUGAACAUCCACGGGCUCCCUCCGGGCGCCCGGCCACCUCGUCCGCGGCCGCGGGCGUUCGCUGGAGGCCGGGGGCGUUUGCACAGCUCUUUGUCCCUCGAACCUGCUCCCUCGCCUCCGCCUGGCCGCCUCUGGAGUGAGUGAGCGCGUUCCCUCCCCGGCCCUCCGGCUGCAGCCUCGCGUCGGCGGGCCGGUCAGUCUCGGGCUGUCCCGGUCGCGCUCGCGGACUGUUGGUCUCCCCGACGGGGACUCCGGAAAACGCGCCCUGUACGGGCUGCUGCCGUCCCGGGGCUGGCUCGGUGGCGGCUGCGGCGCCUCCUCACGCUCUCCGCGCUCGCUCUUUCGCUCAACUUGUCACUUCGCACCAACUCUGCAGCCUGGCGCCUGAGCCCGGACCAAUGGCAGGCGCGGCCCAGGCCGGCGACCCAGCGCCCUCUGCUGCCGCGUCUCCACACCCGCACCCUCCGCGGCGUAUCUGAAAGUGCUGGUCACUCCCGCGCUUCCCUCAUGCCCAGCUCCCCCCUCCCGCACCCACGCCCGCAAACUCGCAUCCCUGCCCAGUCCGGGGCCCUCCAGGCUACCGGAUGGGAGGGGAAAUCGAGGCUCAGGGACCCCUACCCUGGGUCGCAGGUCAGUGCGUGGCUGAAUGGCUCGGGGACCCAGAUGCUAACAGUCUCUGUUCUGCUGCUGUUUGCCAGGUGACCCUUGGCCACGAGACUUCUACGGAUACCAGUUUCCCUUUUGAGUUCUUGCUGAAGAGCCGGUUCUUAAAACAGGUGCUCUGCUCAGCGAAUCCUCCCUGCUCUCAGGAAGCCAGCAGAGGUGCACGGAGGGAUUCCUUCUGGCUCUCUGACCACUCCCUGUUCCAUCAGCCGCCAUCUGAAAUGACAAGAUGCCCAACCUAACUGACUGAAUGUGCAAGAAGAAGUCAACGUGGGUAUGGCUCCCCUGUCCUUGAUGCCACUCCCUCCUAAUGCUCCCCCUUUCUCUGACCCCUGGCUUGGGGAGACUAAACACCUUCCCCCGAGGCUGAGAAACAAUCUUUCUGACCCCCAAAAGGAGAGGCAUGGGGGACAUGGGGGCCAUCAAACACAGUAGUGUGCACUUGGAUGGGACUUAAAACCAAUACAGUGCUUCAUAGGUACCAUUGCCAAAUCCCAGCAGUCCAAAUUAAACUGGUAUUUGUUCAAAGCAGCGUGUUCCUCUCCAUCCCUAUGACAAUUUCUUUAGUUCUGAUCUCAUCCUGAUUUGCCUGGAACACACAAGCAUUUCCUCCCUGCUCUGUUCUCUCUCUUGAUGCCAGAGAAAUUUUGUUAAUUACUUUUCCAUUUUUCAGUGGUUCUGCAGCCCCUACAGGAUAGUCAAAACCUUGAAUUUUGAUCAUUUAAGGCCCAGCUGCAGCAUUCUUCUAUGUCCUGACACAACCCCAUACACAAGUCUUGCCACAAUCAAUGAAACCUCUCUUCAUUCCUCCCUCGCACCAUGUCUUUUCCUUGCUUUUAUUCUCUGCAAACUCAGCCAUUGAAUAGAACUUAAAUGUCACCUCCUCCAGGAAAUCUUCCAAGCUCUCUCAAGGAAAGAUUAGUUGCCAGACUCCACGAGACUUUGUACUUG